ACAAGGGUGCUGCGAAGACACAGACCCUUUCUCUAGCGCCAAUCCUGUUGGUGCAAAAAUCCGCUUGCGCCGGAGAAGCUGGAGUCGGGGAAGUCGCGGUCGCCGCCGGGACCUGCAAGGGAAGUCUAAACCGGAGGUGGGGUUGCUCCGGCAAGACCCUCCGACGCUCAAGUCAGUUCUCUGCCUCAACAAGAAUGGAGUGCUCGAACGGAGAAUUUAGCAGAGUUUUUAGAUAAGGCAAAAGAGCUUAAAGAAUAACGUAUCUGAGUCCCCCCUUUUAUAGGCGGGGGAGGCAACGGACUGAUGGCGACGUUUGUAACCGCCUGGUAGUGGGCCGCCUACGGUCAGGGGAAUUGAUUGCGAAAGAUAAUGGAGCAGACACGUGGGCAUCACUUCGACUCGCCAUGUGGAAUCUGUUA
rnacentral:lncRNA from 1 species